ACUGCUAGCUACUGACUUUGAACAGGCUAUGCUGGUUUUGGCUAGGAUAGAGUUAAUUUUCUUCACAGUGGCUUAUAUGGGCUAUGUUCUGGAUUUGUGCUGGAAACAGUAUUGAUAACACAGGCAUGGUUUUGUUAUUGCUGAGCAGUGCUUACAUGAGACAAGGCCUUUUCCGCUGGUUAUACUGUCACACUGGUGAGAAGACUGAGAGUGGAUGGGAAAUUGGGAGGAGACACAGGCAGGGCAGGUGACCCCAACUGACCAAAGGGAUAUUCCAUACAAUAUGACACCAUGUUCAGUAUAUAAAGCGGCAGGGACAGGAGAAAGGGGAGGAUGUUUGUUUGGAGUGAUGGCAUUCAUUUUCCCAAGCUGCCAUUAAGUGUGAUGGAGCCUUGCUUUCCAGGAGAUGUCUGAACACCUUUCUGCCCAUGAGAAGCAGUGAAUUAAUUCCUUGUUUUGCUUUGUUUCUGUGAGCAGCUUUUGCUUUCCCUAUUAAACUGUCUUUAUCUCAACCCAUGAGUUUUCUAGCUUUUACCUUUCCAGUUCUUACCUUGAUUCACUGGUGGGGGAGUGAGCAAGCAGUUGUGUAUUACUUGGUUGGUGGCUGCAGUUAAACCACAACACAGAUCCGUGACGGUUGAAGUUCUGAUUUUGGUUACCACAUUCAACAUGUGUGGAGCUAGGUUCCCAUCUGUCUCUUCAUAAGACAUACUCUGUAGACAGGAAAAUUCUGUACUUCCACUCUUAACAUCAUUUGAAGGAUUAAUGGAGUGGUUUGCUUGCUGUUUUUCAUAGGUCUGUGUAUAUGUUAUUUCUCUCUAAAAUACUUUACUUCAUUUGUUGCAGAUUCCUGUUGAGUAGCCUGAAGAUCCUUGAUGAAUUGGUGAAACAAUAUUGUAGAAAUAGCUUCAGUUUAAUGGAUAUUUGAAGAAAAGGUGUUCUGUAACUUCGAAAACUAUAUUCAGUACUUCAGUUUGAGUGAUGUAUCUUGAAAAAGAGUCACUUGUAGAAGAGGUUGUGCUUAAUAUAAUACAGAAGCAUUAAUCUUAAAACAUCGUCUUAAAUCUGAAAACCAAACUGUGGAAUCAGUUCCUUUGAGGAACACACCUCUCUGAUACGUCAUGAAACUGGAAUGUAUUUAGUCCCGAGAAGUUACUAGUCUCAGUUAAAGAUACACCAUUUGGCUCCGGAUGUUCUGGCACACAUCCUUGUGGCCAUCUGUUGUGCUGAAUCGUUUGCAAAAGUUUGAAAAGAGUUGGGAUUCGGUUUUGGUGGGGUUUUCUUGGUUUGUUUUAAAAGUUCAAUACUCUAGUUCUGCAGGCUUAUGCUUGUGCCCGCAAUAUAUUUCAAUUGUAUGUGCUUAACAUGUGCUAGGAUUAGGAUGUCAAACUGAAGUACAGAGAAAUGUCUUGCUAAUUAGAUGACAAUUCUUGGUAGCUUCCAAGAUCUAGGCUGGACAACUUACAAACAGCUGUGUGGCAACAUGAUGGUGUUACAUGAAAAAUCUGUCAAACUAAUGGUAUGUUUCAUUAUCUUUUUUAUUUAUUCUUUUUUUUUAUUCCAUAGAUGUUUAACACAACAAUGUAUGCCCAUAUGCAGCUGAACUAUAUGUUUUUACAUUUUAUAAUGAACUUUUUAAUCCAUACCCUGUUUUAGUACUUUCUGUAUAAAUGGGGUGAUAAAUUGAUUUUUAUUGCUUCAGAAGUCAAAGUAUCUGUUUUUUCUGAAAAGAUAUCUGACACCAUGAACUGUUGUCCACCUAAAUAUUACACAUCUCAAAGAAAAAAAAAUAAGCAGACAAAACAGACUCUCUACUAUGGGAAAAAUUCUGACAUUAAUUUUAAUAUUCCUGUCUUUAAGCUGGUUUUAAAUGUGCAGCACCAGGUUUUACAAUACUAAACAUUGUUUGGGGCCAUUUUUUGUUUAACUGCUCUGUAGAGAUGAUCCCAACUGUAAUUUUUAAUGGGAAAAAUAUUAGCAAUUAAAUACACAUUUAAAAAUAAA